rnacentral:rRNA from 1 species
CCCGACCAAGCAUUGAACACACCCUGUUAACCCAACACCGGAGCGCACAAAUAGGCCGAUUCAAGUCUGCAGAAGGAACUCGGCAAACACAAGGCCCGACUGUUUACCAAAAACAUAGCCUUCAGCCAACCAAGUAUUGAAGGUGACGCCUGCCCAGUGACAUUACGUUCAACGGCCGCGGUAUCCUAACCGUGCAAAGGUAGCGCAAUCAAUUGUCUCAUAAAUCGAGACUUGUAUGAACGGCAUAACGAGGCCCUAACUGUCUCCUGCAGACAAUCAGUGAAACUGAUCUCCCUGUGAAAAAGCAGGAAUACACCCACUAGACGAGAAGACCCUGUGGAACUUUAAAAUCAGUAGCCACCCACCUUGGCUCUAAGCCUAACAGGCCCACCCCACAACCCUGGCUAACAUUUUUCGGUUGGGGCGACCUUGGAGGAAAACAAAGCCUCCAAAGCCUAGGGCCAUUCCCCCUAACCAAGAUCCACCUCUCAACGUGCUAACAGCCCACAGACCCAAUAAAAUUGAACAAUGGACCAAGCUACCCCAGGGAUAACAGCGCAAUCUCCCCCAAGAGCCCCUAUCGACAGGGAGGUUUACGACCUCGAUGUUGGAUCAGGACACCCUAGUGGUGCAGCCGCUACCAAGGGUUCGUUUGUUCAACGAUUAACAGUCCUACGUGAUCUGAGUUCAGACCGGAGCAAUCCAGGUCGGUUUCUAUCUGUGAUCAGCUUUCCCCAGUACGAAAGGACCGGAAAAGCAGGGCCAAUACCACAAGCAUGCCCUCCCCAACAAGUGAUGCCCCCCACNAAANCACCNANANGACCCCCACNCCCCCACAGAACCAUGGCCG